rnacentral:rRNA from 1 species
UACGAAGGGGGGCUAGCGUUGUCCGGAUUUAUUGGGCGUAAAGAGCGUGUAGGCGGUUCGGUAAGUCUGCUGUGAAAGUCGGGGGCUCAACCCUCGGAUGCCGGUGGAUACUGCCGGGCUAGAGUACGGAAGAGGCGAGUGGAAUUCCUGGUGUAGCGGUGAAAUGCGCAGAUAUCAGGAGGAACACCAAUUGCGAAGGCAGCUCGCUGGGACGUUACUGACGCUGAGACGCGAAAGCGUGGGGAGCAAACAGG